GACCUAGUGGCGUAACUGGUAACGCACACAUUUACUGUAAGGUGACAGACUGACAGUGACCUAUAAUCUACAAAUGCGAGACCCUUGUUCAAUUCGAGGUCAGGCCA